rnacentral:lncRNA from 1 species
AACUCCGACACGAGUCGUAAAACGUGUAUUGAUAUAAUCAUAUUGUUGAGCCUUAAGGGCCAACGAAAUAGAGGGCAAUUACCCUCUCAACAUAAUCUUCGGUAGAAGACUCAGUUGCCAACCGCAACCACCGUCCCCCGCUACAAGAGCGGGCCACGGGAACCCGAUCGCUGCCGCCGGAGCCAACGCAACGCAUACCGCAGCUCGGACCAAAAACGACAUAAAGUUAAUUUAUAUACAGAAAAGUUGUCGUCCACACUUCUUCCAAUAUGAAAAGAGAACCAUUGUAUGUAGCUUGCAGUAGGGACAGCAGUGCGAAUAGACUUUAUAUCGGGCCUUUGAUUCCCCAAGCAGAAUUGUCUUGUCGCGAGAGAGAUGGAGAACUUACGUUCCACUAAGUUACUUCACACCCACUUCGAUUGUUUACUCAAUCCGUCCGAGUUUAAUAUUUUCUUCCAUAAUACGGAAAACUUGCGCUGCCAUGUUAGCGAUGUCUGUUCUGAUGAGCUAAUGCUCAAAUCUUAAAUUUUGUGCUUCGUUGAGGCUUACACUUACUCAAAUGAAGCUUAUAAUAUUCCUGGCUAUUCCACAGCAGUGCGGUUAGAUUGGCAGUCUGCAACCAGCGGAGCUAGACCGAAAAGAGGCAUUCUAAUAUUUGUUAGGAAUGAACUUUAAGCUCAUUUUAGUAUGGUCGAAACUAAUCGAUUUUGCAAAUCUGUCGGACUUAUUGCUAUUUAUAGAACCCCAAGCUAUCCGUUGUCCAGGUUCAAGCAAGAAUUUGUGGACUUAGUUCCGCGUAAUCAGUUUUUAGGUAACAAUUCUUUAGUGUUAGGAGAUUUUAAUUUAUGUCUGCAUUCAAUUUCAGGUUGCUGUAGGGAAAUUUUUGAAUUCCUUUCAGAAAGGAAUUUUAGGUCAUUAGGUUUGGUCUCGUCCACUACCAAUUGCUAUACGCAUAUUGACUGGGCGUUUUCAAACAUUUCCGAUAGAAGGGCCACCGCGUGCACCUUUGAGACUACCUAUAGUUAUCAUAGUGGAAUCCAUACAGUCAAUAUUAGAGAGGCCGAAGUAAAGAGGUAGGCAGUGUAAAUAUUUAAAUUUUGUAAAUAUAUUAUUAAUGUAUUAUUAAUUGU